GAUGCAACUGUUCAAAAUUACUUUUGAGUGUUUUGUUCAACUAAUCAAGUUGGUCCUAUAAAUUCAGCAUUUAAUUAAUAAGGGCAUGAAACCAUGAGCUCAAAAGGAGCCAGGGACCCAGGCACUACUGGUCGGUGUCAGGAACCGUUAUGAUGUAUUUGUAGGACUGAGUCACAAUAGGCUGGGGUGAUAGGAGGACAGCAGAGUAAGUUAAAUUCAGAUGGAAGAAGGCCAAGUCAAGAAGGGACCAUGCUGAAGCCCAAAACAUCCAAACUGGUAACAAACCUUACAAGAGCACAGACUACAGAGACAUGGUCCUUAACAUUAUUGGAUGUGCAAACUGACAAGCUCUGCAUGGGAUUCAAGGUGCUGUAAGGGAUGCUGAGCCCACAAAUGUAGAGAAAACUGAUCCAGUUCUUUCUAAUGAAGAGGACACACUCGUUCUUGUUGUUGUGGACAGGGGAUCACCUCUAGUAGAACCAGCAGCUACUGCAUCAGAAGUGCCAGGGCAGUGUAUGGUUCCUGGUCCCCGCUUCGAUCUCCACACCUGCUCAUCAUCACUCACCUGCUGCUCAUCAUUCAUGAUUGCUCCUGCCAUUAUUUAAUGCCACACUGGAGUGCUGUUUUUCACUGGAUUGUUGUACUUACCUCGGGAUCUGUUUCCUGUUUUCUGUGGACCCAUUUUGGUUGAGAGUGAGUGUGAGUGAGUCACAGACUGUGUGAAAAGGAGUGUCCUGGACCUGCCCCUGGAUUUGCGUCUGAGUGCUGCCUGACCAUCCAUGACAACAUAGUCUUUGAAAUUAUGUAACUUUUAUUAUUUAAAGGACACCUUCAAAAUGUCAAUUGUUUAUAUUUAUUAGUUGUUGAGUCAGUGGACUGAAUGUUACAAAGAAAGUUACCACCAUAGCUCUUCUUUGUAACACUUGAAAUAAACACACUUAAAAGUACUGUGUUCAAGUUCAAGUUCAAGUUCAAAUUUAUUUCUAUAGCACUAUUAAAACAACAGGUGUUGACCAAAGUACUGUACAAUAAAAUGGACAAGGCAAUAAACAUAAAAAACAGAAUAGUGUUUUAGAAGAGAAUAAAAUCAUAUAAAAAAGAGAAUAAAAUCAUAAAAAGAUAAUAAAAUCAUUAAAAAGAAUAAUAGUAACAAACUCAUGAUGAAUCAAAAGCCAGAGAAUAAAAAUGGGUCUUUAGACGACUUUUAAAAGUAUCCAAUGUUGGGGAGGAUCUGAUAUGCAAAGGCAAUGUAUUCCAGAGUUUGGGGGCAGUGAAGCGAGAUCGAUCAACUGCAGAUCAGACAACAAACGACGGAGGCUCCAGAAAAGUGCAAUCGAACGAUGAGUUUUAUUAACACCGGAGAACAACCAUCAGCAUAUGGCCUGUUUUGCUCUGACAAAAAUACACUGGGUUCUGGUUUUAUAGCAUAGAGGAUCACACCCCCACAUACACGUCAAUACAGGUCAAAAAUACAUGGU